rnacentral:lncRNA from 10 species
GUCGGGUUGAAGAGAGGAGAGGAGGGAGGGGAGGAGGGGAGUUGGGGUAGAAGGGAGGACAGGAUGGAGGGGAGGAGGGAGCCUGCUUACAGUGCACCUGCAGGAGCCUCUACCCCAGAUCCUGCUCCUGAGGGCAGACUGCUACUGGAGUCUUCAACCCGAAGCUGAGGCACAGACAAGGGUGGCUGUUUGCUGGGGAUGUACAGGACGAAGCCAAGGGUGGAGAGGGAAGAUGAUGGCUGCAGGCUAAGGGCUGUAGACUGGUGCUGCCCCCUAUCCCCAAGAUGACUUUCUGGCCCAGAAUUCAGAAGACCCUGAAGAUUGGAACUAGAACCUGGCUUUCCAGGUCUUUCUGAAGGUCUGCUUGCCAAGGUAACUGGGAAACCAGAUCCAUUGUCAGAAGCUUGCUGAAUGAGCCCAGAACCGGAAUGAAAACACUCCUGCUUGGAUGCAUGCGCUUUCUCAGAAGUGGUAGUGCAGAUGAAUCUCCUGCCGCCUCUCUCCAUCUGGACUGUACAAUGUGGCAGCAAGGUACCUGCCCAGGACAGUGGAGAUGUGGACACCUGGGUGCUGGUAGAGCAGUGGAACGCCCUGGAGAAGGACAGCCUGGAGACAAAACUUGAG